rnacentral:rRNA from 1 species
UACAGAGGUCCCAAGCGUUGUUCGGAUUCACUGGGCGUAAAGCGCACGUAGGCGGUUCGUUAUGUCGGAUGUGAAAGCCCUUGGCUUAACCGAGGAAGUGCAUCCGAAACUGGCGAGCUAGAGUACUAAAGAGGAUCGCGGAAUUCCCGGUGUAGAGGUGAAAUUCGUAGAUAUCGGGAGGAACACCGGUGGCGAAGGCGGCGAUCUGGGUAGAUACUGACGCUGAGGUGCGAAAGCGUGGGGAGCAAACAGG